UAAUAGACAGGAAUGGAAACCCAAGGGACGUAACCGCUCACGAAUUGCAUAAAACUGCUCCCAGCCUCAAACAUUCCAUGCAGAAUGUGCACAUUGUUUUCUGAUGAGAAACUGCAUUGUCGAGGGAACAGAGGGAUACUAGAUGUUACUCUUGGGCUGGGCGGAAGGGUAAAUAAAAUGUUCAGACUGAGAUACAAGCUUUCCCACCACCGGACAGAUGGUUGACUGGCACUCGUCUUGGAUGAGUGGCACCGCUCCAGCGGUCGUCCACGUCCCAUGCCUCUAGGUCUGCGAUUAACACGGCAGCCUACAUGCCUACUGCUGUAUACCUUUGACGCCUUGCUGGGAACCGACAUCGGAUAUACAGGUCGUCCUUCCCGUUCCUCUACAGAAGUGAUUAAUUUCACUGCUGCACACCAGUGAUGGAUGUCUGAGGACAAGCACGACCUUUCGUCUAACAUUCAGCAUUUUAAAAAAUAAUGUUUUCAUGGAAACAUAUUUUAAACUCCAUAUAUAUAAAAAAAAAUUCAAAAGAGCCAUGGUGAGAUGGGACAUCAAGGAACUUGCUUCAUCAAGAGCUUUUGAAUUACAGUAUAUUUACUGUAUACUACAAAAUUUAUGAAGUAUUUGUUGAGUCUGUUAAGAUGACAUUUACAUUUACAGGGCAGUUGGUCAGUCAGUGCAAUGGCUGACAUACCCUGCCAGCGUCAGCUUGAAAACCCUGACUGAUUAUGCUUUGAACCUGGAGAAUCCAUCGUACCAUUUUAACGUUGUAACCAGUGUUUAAUUGUGUGAGAAGUACAAUAAAAUUAUAGCAGU